rnacentral:rRNA from 1 species
ACGGGUGAGUAAUACAUCGGAACGUGCCUAGUAGUGGGGGAUAACUACUCGAAAGAGUAGCUAAUACCGCAUGAGAUCUACGGAUGAAAGCAGGGGACCUUCGGGCCUUGUGCUACUAGAGCGGCUGAUGGCAGAUUAGGUAGUUGGUGGGGUAAAGGCUUACCAAGCCUGCGAUCUGUAGCUGGUCUGAGAGGACGACCAGCCACACUGGGACUGAGACACGGCCCAGACUCCUACGGGAGGCAGCAGUGGGGAAUUUUGGACAAUGGGCGAAAGCCUGAUCCAGCAAUGCCGCGUGCAGGAUGAAGGCCCUCGGGUUGUAAACUGCUUUUGUACGGAACGAAAAGCCUGGGGCUAAUAUCCUCGGGUCAUGACGGUACCGUAAGAAUAAGCACCGGCUAACUACGUGCCAGCAGCCGCGGUAAUACGUAGGGUGCAAGCGUUAAUCGGAAUUACUGGGCGUAAAGCGUGCGCAGGCGGUUUUGUAAGACAGUGGUGAAAUCCCCGGGCUCAACCUGGGAACUGCCAUUGUGACUGCAAGGCUAGAGUGCGGCAGAGGGGGAUGGAAUUCCGCGU